GAUGCAGGAAGGAAGAGUGAUUGCUUAUGGCUCAAGGCAGUUGAGGAAGCAUGAGGGGAAUUAUCCAACUCAUGAUCUGGAAUUGGCCGCGGUGGUUUUUGCUCUAAAGUCGUGGAGGCAUUACCUUUAUGGCGAGGCUUGUGACAUUUUCACCGAUCACAAAAGUCUCAAAUAUAUUUUUACUCAGAAGGAGCUGAAUUUGAGGCAGCGACGGUGGCUGGAAUUGAUUAAAGAUUAUGAUUUGUCCAUUCAUUAUCACCCGGAGAAGGCUAAUGUGGUGGCUGAUGCCCUUAGCAGGUCCGGGGUUCCAAAGGUGGCCUUGCCGUUGAUCGCUGAUCUAGACCGUUUGGGGAUCGCUUUGUGUUAUGUCGGCACUGCUAGCAAGGAGACUCAGAUGCUUAUUCAAUCCUCUCUCAUGGAGAGAGUGCGUGCGGCUCAGUAGCAGGAUCGUCUAUUGCAGGAAGCUCGAAAGAGGGUGGGUGAUGGUAAACCGCGGGAGUUCACCAUUGAUGAGAAUGAUUUGGUUUGUUUCAGGGGCCUCCUCUGUGUGCCUCAGAAAUCAGAGGUGAAAAUGGAUAUCUUGAGAGAAGCUCAUAAAACGCCUUACACCGUCCAUCCUGGCGAAACCAAAAUGUACCGAGAUUUGAAGCAAAACUUCUGGUGGAAGCGGAUGAAGGUUGACGUUUCUAAGUAUGUGGCCGCCUGUGAAGUAUGUCAGCGCGUGAAGGCCGAGCAUAAGCGGCCUGUAGGUUUGCUGAAGCCAUUAGAAAUUCCAGAGUGGAAAUGGGAGCAUAUCACCAUGGAUUUUGUGGUGGGUCUACCUCGUUCCCCUCAUGGCAGGGAUGCUAUUUGGGUGGUAGUGGAUCGCUUGACUAAGUCUGCGCAUUUUAUUCCCAUGAAGACCACAAGUUCAGCUUCAGAUUUGGUUCCCUUGUAUAUGAAGGAAGUAGUCAGGCUUCACGGGGUACCUAAGUCUAUUGUUUCUGAUCGAGACUCCAAAUUUGUAUCCAAAUUCUGGGAGAGUCUCCAUAGUGCCUUGGGCACCAAGCUUUCGCUUAGUGUCGCUUUUCACCCUCAGACGGAUGGUUAGUCAGAGCGAACAAUCCAAACCUUGGAAGACAUGUUGUGUGCUUGUGUUCUGUCAUGGAAGGGUAGCUGGGAGGAUCAUCUUGCUCUGGCAGAGUUUGCUUAUAACAACAGCUACCCGGCUAGCAUCAAGAUGGCACCAUUUGAGGCUUUCUAUGGAAGGCGGUGUAUCUCUCCUCUGUGCUGGGAGACUUUGGGAGAGAGAUCCGUGGUUGGUCCUGAUUGGGUUCAACAAACUUCUGAAAAGGUUCGGGAAAUUCGUCAGAAUAUUUUGGCAGCUCAGAGUCGUCAGAAGAGUUAUGCUGAUGUGAGGAGGCGGGAUCUGGAAUUUGCUGUGGGUGACCAAGUCCUUCUCAGGGUAUCACCCACUAAGGGAGUUGUUCGGUUCGGUGUCUCUGGGAAGCUCAGCCCGAGAUACAUUGGACCGUUCACUAUCUUGGCUCGAGUGGGCAGCCUGGCUUAUCGCUUGCUACUGCCGGAUUCCAUGGCAGGGGUACACCCGGUUUUUCAUGUCUCUAUGUUGAGGAAGUUCUUGCGAGAUCCGGACCAUCAGAUUGAGAUGGAACCAAUUGCGGUGCAGCAGGAUCUGACUCUGGAGUGUCGUCCGGUGCGUAUAUUGGAAUUCUCGGAGCGUGUGUUGAGGAAGAGAUCAAUUAAGUAUGUCAAGGUCUUAUGGACUAAUCAGUCUGAGCGCGAGGCUACGUGGGAACUUGAGGAGCUGAUGCGGCAGAAGUACCCGGAACUUUUCGUUGUGGGUAAGUGUUGUUGAUUCAUUAAUCUUUUCUUUUGUCAUUCCGAUAGAAGCGUCAGAAUUCGAGGUCGAAUUCUUUUUAAGAGGGGUAGAGUGUGAUACCCGGUUUGCAAAGAAGAGAAGUUGGGGGUUGUUCUUUUUGUUUUUUUCCCUCAUCCGGUUGUUGUUUUGGUGAUUUGGAAUUUUGUGGAAAACAUUCACAACUAGGGCAGUAGAAUUUAUUUGGUUUGACGCUUGCGUUGCGGUCGGGAGCUGUCGCGUGGGUUAGUUGGGCCGCAAUUGGUGUUUCGGCCCAUUAACCCUCCCAAACCCUAGCCGCCUCCCUCCUAACCCCCUCCCCCCUUGUGCAGCCGCCCCCCCACUUCGCCCCCCUUGGUCGCCGCCCCCCCUGCCCAUCUCCUCUCUCAAUUCUUGCAGCCACCAAACCCUAGCCGCCCCCCCCCCCCUCAAUCCCCUCCUCCCAAGGUGCCAAUCCUUGCCGCUCGGAUCAUCGUCACGUGGUGCGAGUCUUCAAUCGUUUUGGUGGAGGGAAGAAGGGAGGAAGGAAAGGGGGAGAAUCCAAGGUGAUUUUUGUGUUCAUGCCUUGUUCAUUUGCGCUGCAAUUUAAUUGAUUAGAGGUUGCGUUUGCGAUUGGGUAGAGGGGGCUGUCCAGAAUUUUAGGUGGUGGAUGAACAGCAGUAGUUCUAGCAGUUUCUGUGUUUUUUCGUGAGAAAUUAAGGGAAAUCAGUUUGGGGAUCAUGUAUAACUUUGUCUUACCUUUCCAACGAGUAUUUAUGCGCUCAAUUUGGAGUUAUAAAUUGAAAGUUAUCACCGUUUGAAUCCGGGUAUGUGGCUGUCCAAAAAAACAGAUUUUCAGGGGGAUGAACAGCAGCAGUAUUAGCAGUUUCUGGGGAUUUUUCAGGAUUAAUUAGGGUUAAUCAGUAUAAGAAUCAUGAAGGGCUCUUUCUUAUCUUUCCAACAAGUACUUAUGCGCUUGAUUCGGAAUUAUAUUUUAAAAGUUAUCGCUGUUUGAAUCCGAGUAUGUCGCUGCCCAAAACAGAAAAAAACAGAUUGCAGGGUUUAUUUUGUGGACCGUUUAGGGGUAAUUAGAUGUUAGAAUUUAAUCAUAAAUUGUAUACAAAACUUGUGGGGAAUUUUAUGUAGUUGCCUCUGGAGUUUUUGUUUGACACCACUGCUGUCUUAAUUUUAAAGUUAUGGAAUUGUUAAGCAGCGCCGCUGCAGUUUGGUUGGUGUGGGGAGAAUUGUUACCCGCGGCGGGGUUUGAGAUUGCGCGUAGGUGCGGCGUUGUUUUGAGUUUUACGUGAAUUUGGUGCACUAAGUUGGGUGUCAAAAACAGGUGGUGGACUCCCAGAUCGUUCUUAGGGAUGUGCCCAAACUUCCGGUGAAGGCAAGUAAAACUGUGAUGGUUAUUCCGUCUGUCAGAUGAGGAGUCUUAUACUUGUUUAUGUUGUGCUAUUAUGAUCAAAUUCAUAUUUUCUUUUGAGUACCAUCAUUUGAAAAUGUUCAUGUUUCAUGGAUUUCAUAUGUUGAGUUUGAGGUUUGAUUAUGUUACUCAAGUGGUUAUUAUGUGGAAUGGGUGGAAGUAAAUGCCUAGCACAUUUUUAUUUGGGAAGAACUCAUGAUGUUGUCAUGCAUAAUGCACUCAUCAUCCAUUGCAUUGAUGUUUCGUCGCGAUCUUAUGGUCCGACCGUACCGGUACAUUGAGCAUCAUAUGUUUCCCAAGAAGGGGUAUGGUGCAGCUUCAUAUCCUUAGAGAUAUGGAGGCAGAAGUCAUUAUUGCAUUUGUAGCCAUGUGCAUUCAUGGGAGAGGUGUUGAAUCUAUUAUGUGGAUGUGGAUAAUUUGGACUUGUGCAUGGUGAUUCUACUUGGCGUUGAGUUUUUAGUUACUUGUUUACUUGCUGCAAUUUACUGUUCAAAAGAAAGAAAAGAAGUCCUGAACACGUGGUUGUGUAAGCACAGUUGAUUUACAAUGUCCUAUUUGUUGUUGUUAUGUUUACUUGCUGAGAUGUGUUAUCUCACAUCUUGCAUUGCUUGAUGCAGGCACCUAAUUUCUGCUUUGGGAAUAGAGGGAUGUAGCAGCACGGCCACUACACCUUUAAUAAAGGAACCACCAUUUAAUAAUGUUGUUAAUCAGAGUUGGACAAGUCUAGUGAAUUGCUUUGUUCUUGGUUGAGCGUUUAUUUUGGGGUGGGCUGAGUUUCUUAUCCCAUUUGUUUUGCUUUAGUUGGGUCAUAAUUAAGUUUUACCACUUUUGCAUUUCAGUUUCUACUAUGUGAAUUAUAUGUCUUUAUAUCUUGUAUGAGCUUCAUGUUUCCCCUCCUUGUUAUGCUAGUUUUCAAAGGAGGUGCUGCCGGAUUUUUGCUAUAUAUUCUUUCUUUAUUACUUCUCUUGUGUUGAGUAAGUUUGGUGGGUGGGGUUUGUGGUAUUAUCCAUUGUGUGUGACCAGUGGGGUGUUACAGCUAACCUGGAUCCGGACUCGGAGGAAACGACCGUCGCGCUAGGAUUAACCAGGUCACAAAAACGCGGCGAACACCCCGCAACAAACCCCAUCAUCCCUAGCUUGGCGGAUUCGGGUAGUUACCACAGAAUCCGAGCAUCCCUGUUGCGUCUGUUGCCGAGCACGCGUGAUUUCGUUUUGGGGAGGAAGAACAAACUGUCAAGGCGGCCCCAGUGAUCAGUGUCCGAGCGCAGGUGAGAAUGACAGCGCGGGUUCACAAGCAAUGCUAGUGGCAUCAUACGUGAGACUUGCGGGUGGGACCCGCCUGCUAGUGCAUGAUGUAGAUGGUUGGCGCGAGAUGGUCAGUUGGGCCCAGGGGCGCGCACUUAAUGGGCCGAGGCAGGAUGGGGUAACUAGGGCCGCAAAGAAGCGAAGCCGGCCCAAGAGCAGGUCCGCUGCAUCGGAAGCAGCCUUCGACCAGUAGAAUCCUUGUCUAAAAACUUUGCGAAGGAGUGGCAUGGAUCCAAAGUGGGCUCCACAUAUUCCUAAGUGUAUUUCCAUCAUCAAUUCUUGACCUUUGGCUCUGGAUAGACACUUUAGUAAUGGGGAGUAUACUCCUUGCUUGAACAAUUCAACUUCAGACUGUGUCAAGAUAUUUUUCAUGCUU